GAUGAAGAACGUAGCGAAAUGCGAUAAGUAAUGUGAAUUGCAGAAUCCAGUGAAUCAUCGAAUCUUUGAACGCACAUUGCGCCCGCCAGCAUUCUGGCGGGCAUGCCUGUUCGAGCGUCAUUUCAACCCUCGACCUCCCCUUGGGGAGGUCGGCGUUGGGGACCGGCAGCACACCGCCGGCCCUGAAAUGGAGUGGCGGCCCGUCUGCGGCGACCUCUGCGUAGUAAUACAGCUCGCACCGGAACCCCGACGCGGCCACGCCGUAAAACACCCAACUUCUGAACGUUGACCUCGAAUCAGGUAGGACUACCCGCUGAACUUAAGCAUAUCAAUAAGCGGAGG
rnacentral:misc_RNA from 1 species